GGGAUAUUUGGAGAGGAGAGCUCAGAGGGCACCACAAGCUCAGCUAAAGCCUGAGAUAUCAGCUCAGAUAUAAGAGGCAGAGGCUUUUGAAUCUGGAAAUGAAAUGCCUAAAUGUCAAAGGAAUUGCUUGCUUUGAUAAUAGUGCAUAAAAAUGAGGAAAGACAUCAUUCAAAUUGUUAAAGAAAGAUAACACAGACAAGGAUUAAAUCACUUGAGAAGGCAUCAACAAUACUGAUUGUUUUUAAUGGACAGAUGAGAAGGUUCUCUGCAGGAGACUGGAGCAGGCUGCCAGGCAGAAAUUUCAAAAGCAUCCCUGAGAUGCUAUGGGGAGCAUGGAACACCUGAGGAACAGAGAAUAGCUGUUACAUAAGCCUUCUAUUUCCUGGCUGAACAAGACGGGUCUCUUGUAGGAACUGAAGCCACGAACUAACAUGAAUCCCUACUAUGUGUGAUAAAGCAUAACAGUGAAGUGGGAAAAGGUAUCCAGGUAUUGGAGCUCUGCAGGAUGUGCCCCAGAGAGGCAGCUGCCCCACGUGCCUGUCUCUGAGGUGCAUCAGAUGAAACGUAGAGACCUAUAAUAAUAACCUGGAAUACAGGCAAGGAACAGAAGCAGGAGGAGCAUGUUGUACAAGGAAAGGCUGUGUCCAGGCACACACAGCCCACCCAGCUCUGCUCCAGGACAAGUGGUCCUGCUUGUAGAGAGGAGCUCAGAGACUGAGGGGUCACAUUCAAGCCCUGGGGACACCAUUGUCAGCUCCAGACGAAGUCAAUGCACAAGGAUGUGGGCAAUGCUGAAAGAAGCCAGGGAGGUCGUUCCUGAAGUUGCAGGAUUUUGUUUGGACAGGAAUGAAGAGGAUUUAAGUUUUUACUUCUCCUGAGAAAAGUAAAAUUUUAGUGUAGUCUUCUUUCUCCUUCACUCCUGUUCUGUGAUUCACAAAUCCUGACUUAUUUUCUCAUAUGUAAGAGCUACGUGAUGAACUCCAGUCAUGGCUUUGGCCUGUUCAGCCUCUUUCCACAUCAAAUGCUUCUUUAGGAAAUACCUCGAGGACUAUUUGUAAUUACUAUGACACAUUCAGUAUGUCUGUAGAGAGUUUAAAAGGGGAUUUACUAUUACUUACUUUAUCUUUUUGUUCAUAGUUUCCAGAGUGAUUUUUAUGUCUUUAAGAAAAAAUUAAGUGAUGAAUCUGGCCUAUCAAGUAGCAUUGAGACCUCAAGACCAAAAUUCCUAAAGCUUCUUCAAGUUCUACAGCUAUGGAAUUUUUAUGAAUGAAGUAAGGAGCAGACACAAGAGGUCUUCAAGUAAGACACUUACCAGUCUCAGUAGGAAGUGAAAAUGUCUUGAAAGUUCUGCCAUCACUUGAUAUUUAUUCUUCUGUCCCUUGUGCAUUAUCUUUUAGACUGUAUUUUCUAUACCAUAUUGUUACGCAAUGAUAAAGGGUUCAACAAAAUGAAAAAUUAUUUGAAUGAAAAAUGGGAGUAAGACUCUGACUUGCCUGGUUUGUACAGAUAAGGAAGUAUAUGAAAUAUAAUGCUAUCUGCUUAAUCCAUGUUACUUUGGACAUUACCACACUUAUACUUUAUUAACAGUAGGAUUUCUGCUCUCUAGGUUUUGUACCAGCUAAGUUGCUUAGCAACCUUAACUCCAAGAUAACGAUGUCUUGCUGCUUGUGAUUAAAGAAUGAUUUUUUCAUGUGUUCUGUUUAUGAUAUAUAUUUUGUUGUUUGCAAAGUCUUUCCCUCAAUUUUCAUUCCAAAUAUAGUAAGGUGUAUAUAUAUAUUCCUUGAAGCACUUUAUCUUUGAAAUUCACCACAGUCAACUACUUUAGUGAAUGCAAGUAGCACAAUAGUAUUAUGAGAA